CACACGGCGGGUGCUAACGUCCGUCGUGAAGAGGGAAACAACCCAGACCGCCAGCUAAGGUCCCAAAGUCAUGGUUAAGUGGGAAACGAUGUGGGAAGGCACAGACAGCCAGGAUGUUGGCUUAGAAGCAGCCAUCAUUUAAAGAAAGCGUAAUAGCUCACUGGUCGAGUCGGCCUGCGCGGAAGAUGUAACGGGGCUAAACCAUGCACCGAAGCUGCGGCAGCGACACUAUGUGUUGUUGGGUAGGGGAGCGUUCUGUAAGCCUGCGAAGGUGUGCUGUGAGGCAUGCUGGAGGUAUCAGAAGUGCGAAUGCUGACAUAAGUAACGAUAAAGCGGGUGAAAAGCCCGCUCGCCGGAAGACCAAGGGUUCCUGUCCAACGUUAAUCGGGGCAGGGUGAGUCGACCCCUAAGGCGAGGCCGAAAGGCGUAGUCGAUGGGAAACAGGUUAAUAUUCCUGUACUUGGUGUUACUGCGAAGGGGGGACGGAGAAGGCUAUGUUAGCCGGGCGACGGUUGUCCCG
rnacentral:rRNA from 1 species